GCAUUGGUGGUUCAGUGGUGGAAUUUUCCCCUUCUAUGCAGGAGAAUGCAGGAGGCCUGGGCUUGAUUCCCAGCUAAUGUA
rnacentral:tRNA from 1 species